rnacentral:rRNA from 1 species
GAUGAACGCUAGCGGCAGGCCUAAUACAUGCAAGUCGAACGGUGUAGCAAUACACAGUGGCGCACGGGUGCGUAACACGUAUGCAACCAACCUUACAUUGGGGGAUAGCCUUUCGAAAGGGAGAUUAAUACCGCAUAAGACAGUAACUAGGCAUCUAGUAGCUGUUAAAGAUUUAUCGAUGUAAGCUGGGCAUGCGUCCAAUUAGUUAGUUGGCGAGGUAAUGGCUCACCAAGACGAUGAUUGGUAGGGGAACUGAGAUGUCAAUCCCCCACACUGGCACUGAGAUACGGGCCAGACUCCUACGGGAGGCAGCAGUAGGGAAUAUUGGGCAAUGGGCGCAAGCCUGACCCAGCCAUGCCGCGUGCAGGAAGAAGGCGUUAUGCGUUGUAAACUGCUUUUAUACAGGAAGAAACGACCCUUGCGAGGGGCAUUGACGGUACUGUAUGAAUAAGCACCGGCUAACUCCGUGCCAGCCGCCGCCGUAAUAC